rnacentral:rRNA from 1 species
GGAUUAAUAUGUCGGUCGUGCCUUCGGUACGUACUGGUAUCAUUGGUCUCUCCUUUCUGACGAACCAUGAUGCCAUUAAUUUGGUGUUGCGGGGAAUUUGGACUGUUACUUUGAAAAAAUUAGAGUGUUUAAAGCAAGCUAACGCUUGAAUACAUUAGCGUGGAAUAAUGAAAUAGGACGUUCGAUCCUAUUUUGUUGGUUUCUAGGAUUGACGUA